GGAUCCAGACUUUGAUUCUGGCUCAGGAUGAACGCUAGCUACAGGCUUAACACAUGCAAGUCGAGGGGCAGCGGGAUUGAAGCUUGCUUCAAUUGCCGGCGACCGGCGCACGGGUGAGUAACGCGUAUCCAACCUUCCGUACACUCAGGGAUAGCCUUUCGAAAGAAAGAUUAAUACCUGAUGGUAUGAUGAGAUUGCAUGAUAGCAUCAUUAAAGAUUUAUCGGUGUACGAUGGGGAUGCGUUCCAUUAGGUAGUAGGCGGGGUAACGGCCCACCUAGCCGACGAUGGAUAGGGGUUCUGAGAGGGAGGUCCCCCACAUUGGAACUGAGACACGGUCCAAACUCCUACGGGAGGCAGCAGUGAGGAAUAUUGGUCAAUGGACGAGAGUCUGAACCAGCCAAGUAGCGUGAAGGAUGAAGGUCCUACGGAUUGUAAACUUCUUUUAUAAGGGAAUAAACCCUUCCACGUGUGGGAGCUUGUAUGUACCUUAUGAAUAAGCAUCGGCUAACUCCGUGCCAGCAGCCGCGGUAAUACGGAGGAUGCGAGCGUUAUCCGGAUUUAUUGGGUUUAAAGGGAGCGCAGACGGGUCGUUAAGUCAGCUGUGAAAGUUUGGGGCUCAACCUUAAAAUUGCAGUUGAUACUGGCGUCCUUGAGUGCGGUUGAGGUGUGCGGAAUUCGUGGUGUAGCGGUGAAAUGCUUAGAUAUCACGAAGAACUCCGAUUGCGAAGGCAGCACACUAAGCCGUAACUGACGUUCAUGCUCGAAAGUGUGGGUAUCAAACAGGAUUAGAUACCCUGGUAGUCCACACGGUAAACGAUGGAUACUCGCUGUUGGCGAUAUACUGUCAGCGGCUUAGCGAAAGCGUUAAGUAUCCCACCUGGGGAGUACGCCGGCAACGGUGCAACUCAAAGGAAUUGACGG
rnacentral:rRNA from 2 species